rnacentral:rRNA from 1 species
UACGUAGGGGGCAAGCGUUGUCCGGAUUUAUUGGGCGUAAAGAGCGUGUAGGCGGCUUUGCAAGUCCGUUGUGAAAACUCGAGGCUCAACCUCGAGACGCCGAUGGAAACCAUGUGGCUAGAGUCCGGAAGAGGAGAGUGGAAUUCCUGGUGUAGCGGUGAAAUGCGCAGAUAUCGGGAAGAACACCUAUGGCGAAGGCAGCUCUCUGGGACGGUACUGACGCUGAGACGCGAAAGCGUGGGGAGCGAACAGG